UACGUAGGUGGCAAGCGUUGUCCGGAAUUAUUGGGCGUAACGCGCGCGCAGGUGGUUCCUUAAGUCUGAUGUGAAAGCCCACGGCUCAACCGUGGAGGGUCAUUGGAAACUGGGGAACUUGAGUGCAGAAGAGGAAAGUGGAAUUCCAAGUGUAGCGGUGAAAUGCGUAGAGAUUUGGAGGAACACCAGUGGCGAAGGCGACUUUCUGGUCUGUAACUGACACUGAGGCGCGAAAGCGUGGGGAGCAAACAGG
rnacentral:rRNA from 1 species